GCCUCUUUCCUUCUUCCUCUCGUCUUCUAUUUCGCCACACAAAAAAAAAAAAAUUUCUUUCCGUCACAGUUUCCAUCUCAUAUAAGCAGGAAUUUCUAGUGGCUCCUCAAAAGCGUCGUGAGAGUUGAAUUUUGGUUGUCGGUUGGAUUAAGACUCAGGAUUAGGUGGAAUUGAGGAAUUUUCAAAUUCUAAGAACGGAG